GCUUCGUUAGCUCAGCUGGCAAGAGCGUCUGGCUUGCUACGCCGGGAGGUCGCAGGUUCGAAUCCUUGCACGAAGCG